rnacentral:lncRNA from 1 species
AAAUAAUAAUAAUAAUAAUAAAAAAUCAAGUAUCUUUUUAUCACUGUUUAAUCAAAGUUUGAUUUGAAGUUGCUACAGAAUCAUCCUGCUCUGUGUGAAUAAGGAAAGGAUAUGGUAUUGAGAAUAACGUCAAUUUUCUUAACCUAAACUGCAGUGAAACUUCUCUCCCUACCAAAACAAAACAAAGCAGAAGGCAUGUGACAGGCUGUUGUUAUAACAGUACGGGAGAGGAAAACGAGGAACCAAAAACAGGCUGUAGCAGAAGAAGAUGGAGGAAUUGCUGUGUUUACCUCCUAGUGUUCUAUUUUUAACCCACUGUAUGCUGUAAGCUUCAUGGUGAGGUGAAGUUGUGCAGAAGAUGUUAAGGUCUCACAGACAAGUGAGCAACGAAUCCUGCUGCCAACAUUACUCCAGAGCAAGGAGGUGGUCAGGCUGAGAGGAGCUUCUUAACCUCCAGAUUUGGAAGUACAGCAAAGCUGAUGACUGCAUUGAGUAUUUGUAAAAGGCCAGCAGAAAGAAUCCCUGAGGAACAUCAUCUUCACAUGAAAUACGAAACAUCCGUUUUGUUAAGGGCAUCUUUCUUUGUACAUCUGCAUGUGUUUCUCGCAUGUAGGAACAACUGGGGAACAGAAUGCAAUGUUGUAAAUAAGUUUAUUUGUAUCAGAAUAUCAUUUAUUUCAAUUUAAAGUUUUAAAAAAUAAAGUUAAG